UGCCAGCAGCCGCGGUAAUACGGAGGGGGCUAGCGUUGCUCGGAAUUACUGGGCGUAAAGAGCACGUAGGCGGGUAUUCUAGUCGGAUGUGAAAUCCCAAGGCUCAACCUUGGAACUGCAUUCGAAACUGCCUGGCUAGAGUCUCGGAGAGGGUGGCGGAAUUCCCGGUGUAGGGGUGAAAUCCGUAGAUAUCGGGAGGAACACCAGUGGCGAAGGCGGCCACCUGGACGAUGACUGACGCUGAGACGCGAAAGCGUGGGGAGCAAACAGGAUUAGAUA
rnacentral:rRNA from 1 species